rnacentral:rRNA from 1 species
AAGUCGUAACAAGGUCUCCGUAGGUGAACCUGCGGAGGGAUCAUUAAUAGUAACGGUGCUGCGGAGAAAUCCCGGUCAGCCGGUUCUAUUACCACCCUUUGUGAACCAAACUCUGUUGCUUCGGGGGCGACCCCGCCGUCACGGCGGUGGUGCCCCCGGUGGCCAUCAAUCAAACUCUGCAUCUCUUUGCGUCGGAGUCUUGAAUAGAAUUCAAACAAAACUUUCAACAACGGAUCUCUUGGUUCUGGCAUCGAUGAAGAACGCAGCGAAAUGCGAUAAGUAAUGUGAAUUGCAGAAUUCAGUGAAUCAUCGAAUCUUUGAACGCACAUUGCGCCCCUUGGUAUUCCGAGGGGCAUGCCUGUUCGAGCGUCAUUACACCACUCAAGCCUGGCUUGGUAUUGGGUGCCGCGGGCCUCCCGCGCGCCUCAAAGUCUCUCCGGCUGAGCGGCUCCGUCUCUAAGCGUUGUGGCAACUAUUCGCGGUGAGAGGGGGCGGCGCGGCCGUUAAACUUUUCUUAAAGGUUGACCUCGGAUCAGGUAGGGAUACCCGCUGAACUUAA